rnacentral:rRNA from 1 species
GUAAUAAUCCUGUAGUCGAAAAUGUUGUCUCUCUUGAGUGGAUCCUGAGUACGACGGAGCACGUGAAAUUCCGUCGGAAUCUGGGAGGACCAUCUCCUAAGGCUAAAUACUCUCUAGUGACCGAUAGUGAACCAGUACCGUGAGGGAAAGGUGAAAAGCACCCCGGAAGGGGAGUGAAAUAGAACCUGAAACCGUGUGCUUACAAGUAGUCAGAGCCCGUUAAUGGGUGAUGGCGUGCCUUUUGUAGAAUGAACCGGCGAGUUACGAUUUGAUGCAAGGUUAAGCAGUAAAUGUGGAGCCGUAGCGAAAGCGAGUCUGAAUAGGGCGUUUAGUAUUUGGUCGUAGACCCGAAACCAGGUGAUCUACCCUUGGUCAGGUUGAAGUUCAGGUAACACUGAAUGGAGGACCGAACCGACUUACGUUGAAAAGUGAGCGGAUGAACUGAGGGUAGCGGAGAAAUUCCAAUCGAACCUGGAGAUAGCUGGUUCUCUCCGAAAUAGCUUUAGGGCUAGCCUCAAGUGAUGAUUAUUGGAGGUAGAGCACUGUUUGGACGAGGGGCCCCUCUCGGGUUACCGAAUUCAGACAAACUCCGAAUGCCAAUUAAUUUAACUUGGGAGUCAGAACAUGGGUGAUAAGGUCCGUGUUCGAAAGGGAAACAGCCCAGACCACCAGCUAAGGUCCCAAAAUAUAUGUUAAGUGGAAAAGGAUGUGGCGUUGCCCAGACAACUAGGAUGUUGGCUUAGAAGCAGCCAUCAUUUAAAGAGUGCGUAAUAGCUCACUAGUCGAGUGACACUGCGCCGAAAAUGUACCGGGGCUAAACAUAUUACCGAAGCUGUGGAUUGUCCUUUGGACAAUGGUAGGAGAGCGUUCUAAGGGCGUUGAAGCAUGAUCGUAAGGACAUGUGGAGCGCUUAGAAGUGAGAAUGCCGGUGUGAGUAGCGAAAGACGGGUGAGAAUCCCGUCCACCGAUUGACUAAGGUUUCCAGAGGAAGGCUCGUCCGCUCUGGGUUAGUCGGGUCCUAAGCUGAGGCCGACAGGCGUAGGCGAUGGAUAACAGGUUGAUAUUCCUGUACCACCUAUAAUCGUUUUAAUCGAUGGGGGGACGCAGUAGGAUAGGCGAAGCGUGCGAUUGGAUUGCACGUCUAAGCAGUAAGGCUGAGUAUUA